rnacentral:rRNA from 1 species
UCCCCACACUGGGACUGAGACACUGCCCAGACUCCUACGGGAGGCUGCAGUCGAGGAUCAUUGGCAAUGCGCGAAAGCGUGACCAUGCGACGCUGCGUGGAGGAUGAAGGCCUUCGGGUUGUAAACUCCUGUCAUGAGGGAAAAACGAGUGGGCCGUUAAUACCGGUUCGUUGUGAUGGUACCUCAAGAGGAAGCCACGGCUAACUCUGUGCCAGCAGCCGCGGUAAUACAGAGGUGGCGAGCGUUGUUCGGAUUUACUGGGCGUAAAGCGUGUGUAGGUGGUUUUGUGUGUCGGAUGUGAAAGCCCAAGGCUCAACUUUGGAAUUGCAUCCGAAACUGCAGAACUGGAGUACGGGAGAGGAGAGCGGAAUUCUUGGUGUAGCGGUGAAAUGUGUUGAUAUCAAGAAGAACACCGGUGGCGAAGGCGGCUCUCUGGAACGUUACUGACACUGAGACACGAAACCUGGGGGAGCGAACAGGAUUAGAUACCCUGGUAGACCCAGCCGUAAACGGUGUGCACUUGGUGUGGGGGGUAUUCAGCCUUCCGUGCCGGAGCUAACGCAUUAAGUGCACCGCCUGGGGAGUACGGCCGCAAGGCUAAAACUCAAAGAAAUUGACGGGGGCCCGCACAAGCGGAGGAGCAUGUGGCUUAAUUCGAUGCAACGCGAAGAACCUUACCAGGGCUUGACAUGUAGCUGCACGUCCGGUGAAAGUCGGAUUCCUUCGAGGGUGCUACACAGGUGCUGCAUGGCUGUCGUCAGUUCGUGCCGUGAGGUGUUGGGUUAAGUCCCGCAACGAACGCAACCCCUGUGUUUAGUUGCCACCGCAGGUGAUGAGCCUGCGAGCACUCUAGACAGACUGCCCGUACAAGCGGGAGGAAGGUGGGGACGACGUCAAGUCAGUAUGGCCCUUACGCCCUGGGCUGCACACGUGCUACAAUGGUCGGUACAGCGGGAUGCAAUGCCGCGAGGUGGAGCAAAUCCCCAAAACCGGCCUCAGUUCGGAUUGGAGUCUGCAACUCGACUCCAUGAAGUCGGAUUCGCUAGUAACGGCGCAUCAGCUACGGUGCCGUGAAUACGUUCCCGGGCCUUGUACACACCGCCCGUCACAUCAUGAAAGCCGUCUGCUCCCGAAGUCGCUGAGCCAACCCGCAAGGGAGGCAGGUGCCGAAGGAGUGGGUGGUGAUUGGGAUGAAGUCGGAACAAGGUA